UACGGAAGGGGCAAGCGUUGUUCGGAAUCAUUGGGCGUAAAGGGCGCGUAGGUGGUUCUGUAUGUCUACCGUGAAAGCGUACGGCUCAACCGUAUUUUGUCGGUGGAAACUGCAGGACUCGAGGCUGGGAGGGGCUGGUGGAAUUCCCUGUGUAGCGGUGAAAUGCGUAGAGAUGGGGGAGAACACUCGUGGCGAAGGCGGCCAGCUAGACCAGUUCUGACACUGAGGCGCGACAGCGUGGGGAGCAAACAGG
rnacentral:rRNA from 1 species